rnacentral:rRNA from 1 species
GAUGAACGCUAGCGAUAGGCCUAACACAUGCAAGUCGAGGGGCAUCACAUGAAGUAGCAAUACGGAUGGUGGCGACCGGCGCACGGGUGAGUAACACGUAUGCAACCUGCCUUCAACAAGGGGAUAACCCGUUGAAAGACGGACUAAUACCCUAUAACACAGGGGUCCCGCAUGGGGAUAUUUGUUAAAGAUUUAUCGGUUGAAGAUGGGCAUGCGUUCCAUUAGCUGGUUGGUGGGGUAACGGCCCACCAAGGCAACGAUGGAUAGGGGAACUGAGAGGUUUAUCCCCCACACUGGUACUGAGACACGGACCAGACUCCUACGGGAGGCAGCAGUGAGGAAUAUUGGUCAAUGGACGCAAGUCUGAACCAGCCACGUCGCGUGAAGGAAGACGGCCCUACGGGUUGUAAACUUCUUUUAUACGGGAAUAAAGUGCCCCACGCGUGGGGUUUUGCAUGUACCGUAUGAAUAAGGAUCGGCUAACUCCGUG